UACGAAGGGUGCAAGCGUUACUCGGAAUUACUGGGCGUAAAGCGUGCGUAGGUGGUGAGUUAAGUCUGUCGUGAAAGCCCCGGGCUCAACCUGGGAAUGGCGAUGGAUACUGGCUCGCUAGAGUGCGGUAGAGGAGAGUGGAAUUCCCGGUGUAGCAGUGAAAUGCGCAGAUAUCGGGAGGAACACCGGUGGCGAAGGCGGUUCUCUGGGCCUUACCUGACGCUGAGGAGCGAAAGCGUGGGGAGCGAACAGG
rnacentral:rRNA from 1 species